GACUUUGUAGCUCAGUGGAUAGAGCGCCAUGUUCGUGUUGCGAACGGAGGUCGAGGGUUCGAAUCCCUCCAAAGUCA